rnacentral:rRNA from 1 species
UACGUAGGAGACGAGCGUUGUCCGGAGUUACUGGGCGUAAAGGGUGCGCAGGUGGUUGUGCGCGUGGGGGGUGAAAUCGCCCGGCUCAACUGGGCGGGGUCAGCGGAUACGGCAGAGCUUGAGCAAGCUAGGGGGCAAUGGAAUUCCCGGUGUAGUGGUGGAAUGCGUAGAUAUCGGGAGGAACACCAGUGGCGAAGGCGGUUGCCUGGGGCUUUGCUGACGCUGAUGCGCGAAAGCGUGGGGAGCGAUCCGG